rnacentral:rRNA from 1 species
GAAGCCCCCCUCAAGAUGAGAUUUCCUAACUUCGGUUAUAAGAUCCCUCAAAGAUGAUGAGGUUAAUAGGUUCGAGGUGGAAGCAUGGUGACAUGUGGAGCUGACGAAUACUAAUCGAUCGAAGACUUAAUCAAAA